rnacentral:rRNA from 1 species
UACGUACCGUCCAAACGUUAUUCGGAAUUACUGGGUUAAAGGGUACGUAGGCGGCGCUGUUAGUCGGGUGUGAAAGCCCUCGGCUCAACCGAGGAAUUGCGCCCGAUACUGCAGUGCUUGAGGGAGACAGAGGUAAGCGGAACUGAUGGUGGAGCGGUGAAAUGCGUUGAUAUCAUCAGGAACACCAGUGGCGAAAGCGGCUUACUGGGUCUCUUCUGACGCUGAGGUACGAAAGCCAGGGGAGCGAAGGGG